AGAUUGAACGCUGGCGGCAGGCCUAACACAUGCAAGUCGAGCGGUAGAGAGGUGCUUGCACCUCUUGAGAGCGGCGGACGGGUGAGUAAUGCCUAGGAAUCUGCCUAGUGGUGGGGGGAUAACGUUCGGAAACGGACGCUAAUACCGCAUACGUCCUACGGGAGAAAGCGGGGGACCUUCGGGCCUCGCGCCAUUAGAUGAGCCUAGGUCGGAUUAGCUAGUUGGUGAGGUAAUGGCUCACCAAGGCGACGAUCCGUAACUGGUCUGAGAGGAUGAUCAGUCACACUGGAACUGAGACACGGUCCAGACUCCUACGGGAGGCAGCAGUGGGAAUAUUGGACAAUGGGCGAAAGCCUGAAUCCAGCCAUGCCGCGUGUGUGAAGAAGGUCUUCGGAUUGUAAAGCACUUUAAGUUGGAGAAGGCAAUUAACCUAAUACGUUAGUGUUUGACGUUACCGACAAGAAUAAGCACCGGCUAACUCUAGUGCCAGCACGCCGUACG
rnacentral:rRNA from 1 species